AUUGAACGCUGGCGGCAGGCCUAACACAUGCAAGUCGAGCGGAUGAAGGGAGCUUGCUCCUGGAUUCAGCGGCGGACGGGUGAGUAAUGCCUAGGAAUCUGCCUGGUAGUGGGGGAUAACGUCCGGAAACGGGCGCGAAUACCGCAUACGUCCUGAGGGAGAAAGUGGGGGAUCUUCGGACCUCACGCUAUCAGAUGAGCCUAGGUCGGAUUAGCUAGUUGGUGGGGUAAAGGCCUACCAAGGCGACGAUCCGUAACUGGUCUGAGGGGAUGAUCAGUCACACUGGAACUGAGACACGGUCCAGACUCCUACGGGAGGCAGCAGUGGGGAAUAUUGGACAAUGGGCGAAAGCCUGAUCCAGCCAUGCCGCGUGUGUGAAGAAGGUCUUCGGAUUGUAAAGCACUUUAAGUUGGGAGGAAGGGCAGUAAGUUAAUACCUUGCUGUUUUGACGUUACCAACAGAAUAAGCACCGGCUAACUUCGUG
rnacentral:rRNA from 1 species